rnacentral:rRNA from 1 species
UACGUAGGGUGCGAGCGUUAAUCGGAAUUACUGGGCGUAAAGCGUGCGCAGGCGGUUCGUUAUGUCUGCUGUGAAAUCCCCGGGCUCAACCUGGGAAUGGCAGUGGAAACUGGCGAGCUUGAGUGUGGCAGAGGGGGGUGGAAUUCCGCGUGUAGCAGUGAAAUGCGUAGAGAUGCGGAGGAACACCGAUGGCGAAGGCAACCCCCUGGGCUAACACUGACGCUCAGGCACGAAAGCGUGGGGAGCAAACAGG